rnacentral:rRNA from 1 species
AUUGAACGCUGGCGGCAUGCCUAACACAUGCAAGUCGAGCGGUGCUACCGACGGGCGAGUGAUGCCUAGGAAUCUGCCUUGUAGAGGGGGAUAGCGUCCGUAAACGGGCGCUAAUACCGCAUACUAUCAGCUGAGCCUAGUUCGGAUUAGCUAGUUGGUUGGGUAAAGGCCUACCAAGGCGACGAUCCGUAGCUGGGCUGAGAGGAUGACCAGUCACACUGGAACUGAGACACGGUCCAGACUCCUACGGUAGGCAGCAGUGGGGAAUAUUGCACAAUGGGAGAAAGCCUGAUGCAGCCAUGCCGCGUGUGUGAAGAAGGUCUUCGGAUUGUAAAGCACUGUAAGUUGGGAGGCGGUACCAAAAGAAAAAGCACCGGCUAACUCCGUGCCAGCAGCCGCGGUAAUAC